rnacentral:rRNA from 1 species
GCGCGUAGGCGGCUCGUUAAGUGUGAAGUGAAAUCUCCAGGGCUCAACCCGGAAACCGCUUCGCAUACUGGCAAGCUGGAGGGAUGGAGAGGUUAGUGGAAUUCCUGGUGUAGCGGUGAAAUGCGUAGAUAUCAGGAGGAACACCCAUGGCGAAGGCAGCUAACUGGCCAUCAUCUGACGCUGAGGCGCGAAAGCGUGGGUAGCAAACAGGAUUAGAUACCCUGGUAGUCCACGCCCUAAACGAUGGAUACUAGGCGUAAGAGGUAUCGACCCCUCUUGUGCCGCAGCAAACGCACUAAGUAUCCCGCCUGGGGAGUACGGCCGCAAGGUUGAAACUCAAAUGAAUUGACGGGGACCCGCACAAGCGGUGGAGCAUGUGGAUUAAUUCGAUACUAACCGAAGAACCUUACCCAGAUUUGACAUCGAUUGCAACAUCUAGAGAUAGGUGCCUCUCCUCAAAAGGGAGACAUGAAGACACUUGUUGCAUGGCUGUCGUCAGCUCGUGCCGUGAGGUGUACGGUUAAGUCCGCCAACGAGCGCAACCCUCGUCCUAUGUU